GUUUGACCUCAAAUCAGGUAGGAGUACCCGCUGAACUUAAGCAUAUCAAUAAGCGGAGGA
rnacentral:rRNA from 7 species